UACGGAGUGGGCGUGCGUUAUCCGGAAUCACUGGGUUUAAAGGGUGCGUAGGCGGCUCGGUAAGUCAGUUGUGAAAGCCCCUUGCUCAACGAGGGAGGUGCGAUUGAUACCGUCGAGCUUGAAUCGGGAUGAGGCAGGCGGAAUGUGGCAUGUUGCGGUGAAAUGCAUAGAUAUGCCAUAGAACACCGAUUGCGAAGGCAGCCUGCUGGGCCUGUAUUGACGCGGAGGCACGAAAGCGUGGGGAGCAAACAGG
rnacentral:rRNA from 1 species